GAAAUAUAAUUUAAAAUUUAAACUUCUAAUUUAAAAAAUAGUGGUAUAAUAACCAUUAAUAUUUCU
rnacentral:tRNA from 1 species